GUGCCAGCAGCCGCGGUAAUACGAAGGGGGCUAGCGUUGUUCGGAAUUACUGGGCGUAAAGCGCGCGUAGGCGGCGACCUUUGUCAGAGGUGAAAUCCCGAGGCUCAACUUCGGAAUUGCCUUUGAAACGGGGUUGCUUGAGUCCGAGAGAGGAUGGCGGAAUUCCUAGUGUAGAGGUGAAAUUCGUAGAUAUUAGGAAGAACACCGGUGGCGAAGGCGGCCAUCUGGCUCGGUACUGACGCUCAGGCGCGAAAGCGUGGGGAGCAAACAGGAUUAGAAACCCUCGUAGUCC
rnacentral:rRNA from 1 species